ACCAUAUUAGUAAAAUUAAUCCGAUUCAUUUAUAUUAAAAACAGACUGCAUAAAGUAAAAUAACGAUUUAUUUAUUUCAUUUGUCUUCAUAAAUUUUUAUUACAAAUCUGGUAGAUAUUUUUAAUUUUUAUCCUGGUAGAUAAUGGAAACUUUUUUUUUCUGUAUUAGGUAGAUAAUGGAAACAGAAAGUGGAAUAGUACUUGGAUAUGGAUGCCGGCAUCGUCUUAUUGGGCCUGAGUUCUAAUUAGGCCUGUGCUUUAGUUGGGCCUGAGUUCAAACCCAUGAAUGAGGAUACCAGUCUUGUAAGUACCCCGAUGAUUAUACAACUUCAAACCAACCGAGUACUUGUUCUGGUCCGGUACCGUCCCCUCAUCAUUUCUACCCACCGUCAAGAAAUCUCCGAGCUUAACCUCCGACCAUCCGUCGGCCCUCAUCCUCGAGCUCGAAUCGCUCCCUUGAAGAUAAACAACUCCACUGCUGGUAUCGUUCCUUCCUUCAAUCCCGACCUCCACGUCAAACCAUUGAUCGCUCUCGAACCCUUGCGCGUCGAUCGGCAACUUGUACACAAAGUAGGCCCCGUAGCUCGCGUUUAACGGCAGCGUCAUCAACAUACGAUUCGUCCCCAUGUCUACUUGGGUCGAUACAUCGAACCACCAAACGUCCAAUAGCUCCCCGGCCGCCGAAUCGGCCGUCCAUUUCCAAUGGGUUGGGUCUUCUCCCCACGUGAUUCUCACAUCUUUCGCCCCAAUCGUCACUAUCUUCUCAUCCACGGCCGGGGGAGGCGGCGGCGGCGGGGACGGCGCGGGUUUCUUGUUAUUGGCUGCAUGGGUCCCAGACAU
rnacentral:lncRNA from 1 species